UUUUCAUUAUUUUUUAAAACAAAAAGGACAUAAGAAAUGAAAUUGAUUGCUCUUUCUCUUGGUUUAGUUAAUACAUUGGGUAAAUUAGCCGUAUCCAAUAAAGAAAUAAACCAAUAAAAGUGUGUGAAAGAAAAUAUUGUAAACCACCGUAAAGUAGAUAAUAAGUUUUCAGCCAUAUUGUAGUGAAACAAAGUUGACCAAAAAUUAUAUGACAAAAUAGCGAUAGGGGAGCUGGGGGCGAAGCCAGAGCUCAGAGAAAGCAACAACAAAUGAACAAGAAAAGUCAAUGGGAAAGAAAUCAAGACACUAUUACAAAUAACGACAGAUGCCGGAGCAACUUCCUGCAAGAUAUCGGUGGUGGAGCUACUUUUAUCCCAUCUUUUUGAUUUUUGUACUGAUCUAUAUACGAGUGUUUUCCCGAUGUACUUUUUUUGGGGCCAGUGGGGCUCGCCAGUGUUUAGAUUUUUCUUUUAACCAUGAUUUGAAUAUGGAUAGGCAAGAAAGGUGAAUCGUGAUCAAAGAGUUUUUGGGUCAGGUGGCUUCCAUGAUGUUCAUACAUAUCUAAUUUUUAGUUGUGGUGGCUAUUUUAAUAGGCACCGGGCUGUUAUAGAAGAGAGAGAGAGAGAGAUUUCUAGAGGCUAGCCGACUGGUUGAUCUCGCUGGCGCCAGCAACUGCCAAAGGAUGGAGAGACCAUUUUUUUUCAGUGAAAUUUAUUACCCACAAUAAUGGUGGAGGGCAUGAGAGAGAAAGGGGAGGAUUUUGAUAGUAGGGAAAAGGUGAGAGAAAAAAAAAAUAAAAGAAAAAAAUAAAAUUUACAAUGAAAAAGAAAUAUUA
rnacentral:lncRNA from 1 species